rnacentral:rRNA from 1 species
UGGGGAAUAUUGGACAAUGGAGGAAACUCUGAUCCAGCAAUUCUGUGUGUGUGAAGAAGGUUUUAGGACUGUAAAACACUUUUAGUAGGGAAGAAAAAAAUGACGGUACCUACAGAAGAAGCAACGGCUAAAUACGUGCCAGCAGCCGCGUUAAUACGUAUGUUGCGAGCGUUAUCCGGAAUUAUUGGGCUUAAAGGGCAUCUAGGCGGUAAGACAAGUUGAAGGUGAAAACCUGUGGCUCAACCAUAGGCUUGCCUACAAAACUGUUGAACUAGAGUACUGGAAAGGUGGGUGGAACUACACGAGUAGAGGUGAAAUUCGUAGAUAUGUGUAGGAAUGCCGAUGAUGAAGAUAACUCACUGGACAGAAACUGACGCUGAAGUGCGAAAGCUAGGGGAGCAAACAGG